rnacentral:rRNA from 1 species
GACAGAGGGUGCAAACGUUGUUCGGAAUUACUGGGCAUAAAGAGCACGUAGGUGGUGCGCUAAGUCACGUGUGAAAUCCCCCGGCUCAACCGGGGAAUGGCGCGUGAUACUGGCGGACUCGAGGCGGGUAGGGGUGAGCGGAACUCCAGGUGGAGCGGUGAAGUGCGUAGAUAUCGCUUGGAACGCCGAAGGUGAAAACAGGUUGCUGGGGAUGUGCCGACGCUGAGACACGAAAGCCAGGGGAGCAAACGGG